rnacentral:rRNA from 1 species
AUUGAACGCUGGCGGCAGGCCUAACACAUGCAAGUCGAACGAGUGGCGGACGGGUGAGUAAUGUCUGGGACACUGCCUGAUGGAGGGGGAUAACUACUGAAAACGGUAGCUUAUACCGCAUACCAUCGGAUGUCCCCAGAGUGGAUUAGCUAGUCGGUGGGGUAAAGGCUCACCUAGGCGACGAUCCCUAGCUGGUCUGAGAGGCUGACCAGCCACACUGGAACUGAGACACGGUCCAGACUCCUACGGGAGGCAGCAGUGGGGAAUAUUGCACAAUGGGCGCAAGCCUGAUGCAGCCAUGCCGCGUGUAUGAAGAAGGCCUUCGGGUUGUAAAGUACUUUCAGCGGGGAGGCGUUACCCGCAGAAGAAGCACCGGCUAACUCCGUGCCAGCAGCCGCGGUAAUUC